AUGGAGUUGGUGUGCUGGAAUGUGCGAGGUCUCAACUGUCCAGCAAAACGAAAGGCGCUCAGAGAGUUCGUGGAUUCUAUGCGUGUGGCGAUUAUUUGUAUUUUAGAAACUAAGCUCGAGCUGGUAGAUCAAUUUGUAAUCCUACAAUGUAUGGGUCCUAAUUAUGAUGGCUUUACUUAUCUGCCGGCGUCCGACACGAGAGGUGGGAUCUUUCUGGUUUGGGAUUCC
rnacentral:rRNA from 1 species